rnacentral:rRNA from 1 species
GAUGAACGCUAGCUACAGGCUUAACACAUGCAAGUCGCGGGGCAGCAUGUCGGUUGCUUGCAACCGAUGAUGGCGACCGGCGCACGGGUGAGUAACGCGUAUCCAACCUGCCCUUCACCACGGAAUAAUCCAGUGAAAAUUGGUCUAAUACCGUAUGAGGUCAUACGAUGGCAUCAGAAUAUGACGAAAGGUUUAGCGGUGAAGGAUGGGGAUGCGUCUGAUUAGCUUGUUGGUGAGGUAACGGCUCACCAAGGCGACGAUCAGUAGGGGUUCUGAGAGGAAGGUCCCCCACAUUGGAACUGAGACACGGUCCAAACUCCUACGGGAGGCAGCAGUGAGGAAUAUUGGUCAAUGGGCGAGAGCCUGAACCAGCCAAGUAGCGUGCAGGACGACGGCCCUAUGGGUUGUAAACUGCUUUUAUAUGGGGAUAAGUGAGCUACGUGUAGUUUAUUGCAGGUACCAUAUGAAUAGGACCGGCUAAUU